ensembl:lncRNA
AUGCAAUUGAUGGAAGCCACGCUGGAGGGAGAGGCAGUGAUCCGGCUGGCUGGAAGGGGGUUCUCCCGAGCCACGGAGGGCGAGAGGGGAAGCCGGGGAAUCCGUCGGGCUCAGGUGGAAGCAGGCUGGGACGAGGCUGGGAGGGCAAAACGAUCUGGCGAAGACUGGUGCUCCUGCUGCUCCUUAAGAAGGGUUCCUGACAAUUGUAUAUGCAGGACAGGUGUGACAGCAGGCAGCCAUCAGACUCCGCCCAGGUAAUCCAUGCAUCCAUCCAUUGUCAAACCACUUAUCCUGCACACAGGGUCGCGGGGGGGGGGCUGGAGUCCAUCCCAGCCAACCUCGGGCGAUAGACAGGGUACAUCCUGGAUUGGUCGCCAGCCAAUCGCAGGGCUAACACAGAGACAUACAACCAUUCACAAUUUAAAGUCCCCAAUUAACCUGAUCCCCAGAGCAUCAUGUCUUUGAACUGUGGGAGGAAGCCAGAGAACCCAGAGAGAACCCACGCAGACACAGGGAGAACAUGCAGACUCCACACAGAAAGGCCACUGGGCGGAAUCGAACCCAGGACCUUCUUGCUGUGAGGCAACAGUGCUAACCACCACGCCACCGUGCCGCCUACCCAGGUAAUUGGGGAAACCAAAUAUGAUAUAAACUGAACUGACCACAUCAUCAGGUUUAUUUUUUUUCUUUUGUUUUCCUGACUCAUUUUCCUGGCUCCCACCGUAGACAUUACACAACCGCUUUUUGAAGUCCUCUCUUCGCGAGUACACUCGGUGGGCGGCUUCUUAAAAUCCUAAUGAAAGCUCUUCCUGGUAAUGGGACCCGAAUAAGAAAAAUAACCAAUUCCUCUGUUCGAACAAGACGCAUCCAAAAAGAUACGUUUCUCUGGCACCACCUGGCGGCCGCGUCCCCCACAGAGACAAACAAUAGUGAACCUCUGGUCCAACCUGAAACCGGGAAAGCCGCGUCCGGUGACAGCGCUGAUCCGUAGGAAGAUCCCUCUCACCGAAGGAAGAGCCCCCCUCCCCCCAUACAUACAACAAAGAGACAGGGUGUGAGAGAGAGAGAGAGAGAGAGAGAGAGAGAGAGAGAGAGAGGGGAGGGUUGGACUGGAGAGAUGCAGGUACUAACUAUUGGCGCGCCGAGGUGACAAGAGGGGGAGCGCCGUGCUGCUGAUGGGUUUCGUUCCGCUUCACACAAGAACUCGCCUCUCAUUCCGUCCGCAGACGCAGGUGUAGCCUUCUUACUCGCUCCUCCAGCCCCAGACGUGCUCCCUUCUGCCUUCCGGUCACCACGGGCGGAUUUGCACGCUCGGGAGUGGGAGGAAUGACAUGAUGUUAAAGGAGAUGUGGUGCGUCUCUCGCGUGCGCCGCCUGUUACCGCCGCUGUGAACGCGAUGCCGGCUGCGCGCGCGGCGCAGAUGAGCUGAGGCGGUUUUUUAACGGCAUCACCUGUUCCACAAAGAGAAUACUUUUUGACAACCAUGGCGGACCAGGUAAGGCGAAGCCUUUCCUCACCCUGCCCUUCCCAGCUCGUGCGCUCUGCACAAUAGCCUAGACUGCACGCGCACGCACCAGGUAGGCUACACAGAAAAAACACGCACGCGCAGACAGACACUCUUAAUGUGUAUCGUAGAGGAUAACACGAUAACACUCAUUGAUGAUU